AUUGAACGCUGGCGGCAUGCCUUACACAUGCAAGUCGAACGGCAGCACGGGAGCAAUCCUGGUGGCGAGUGGCGAACGGGUGAGUAAUAUAUCGGAACGUGCCCAGUCGUGGGGAUAACGUAGCGAAAGCUAUGCUAAUACCGCAUACGAUCUAUGGAUGAAAGCGGGGGAUCGCAAGACCUCGCGCGAUUGGAGCGGCCGAUAUCAGAUUAGGUAGUUGGUGAGGUAAAGGCUCACCAAGCCGACGAUCUGUAGCUGGUCUGAGAGGACGACCAGCCACACUGGGACUGAGACACGGCCCAGACUCCUACGGGAGGCAGCAGUGGGGAAUUUUGGACAAUGGGCGCAAGCCUGAUCCAGCCAUGCCGCGUGCA
rnacentral:rRNA from 1 species